GGUUGCGAUCAUACCAGCACUAAUGCACUAGAUCCCAUCAGAACUCCGCAGCUAAGCAUGCUUGGGCGAGAGUAGUACUAGGAUGGGUGACCCCUUGGGAAGUCCUCGUGUUGCAACCC
rnacentral:rRNA from 1 species